UCCGAAUUGGUGUAGUGGCUAACAUUUGACGCUCUCAUUUACAUCAUCAGUCGUAAAAAAGUGCCGUCAAGCCCGGGGUUCGAUUCCCCGAUUCGGAG